AGGCACCGCUUUGAUUGGCGUUUA
rnacentral:siRNA from 1 species